rnacentral:lncRNA from 1 species
GUUACAUAUAUAGGCCCCCCCAACAUUAAUACAACUUUCAGUUCAGCAUUUCAGAAUCUGAAGUUUUUUACCGGAGCCCUUCUGAAUGUCCGUUCGCGCUCAAAUUUGACAGUCAGGCUAGGUUUAAAUUAACAAAAAGAACGAAAUCUUAACUUUUCAGUUUGGACUAUUUUUGGUCAUCGAAAGCUCUACCGACCCGAAUCUCUAGCAAAUAGCAGUCGGAUUUUAUUUUUUACUUUUCGGAUGUCGGAAUGACAUAAAACUUCAAAUCUAGCCUCAUAAAAAUUCCGACAUAUUCCCAAACUUUCAUACUUUUCUGACACUGUGAAUUUUCUGCUAAAAGAUCAGCCUCGUUUCUCACAGAAAAUUCUAAAUCUUCUGUUUCCGUUCCACUUUCAGCAUAAGUCAUUUCCGACUUAUAUUUUACUUCUUUAAGUCUAAUAAAAAUAAUAUCUUACACUAUUUUUAUUUAUAUUUACCUUUAUAUUAAAAUCCGGUGCAUAACAAUUAGGCUACUGUAUUGUUAAUAACACCAUAUCAUUCGUGCUAUUAGAUUUUCAGUCUUUAUUUGGAUGAAAUGAUGUGUGGUUAAAAUGAUAGUAGUCCUCUAAAGUUGAGUGAAUGGUUGGUUGAAUACUAUGAUAUGACAGAUUAAAUGAUCAACGGGAUAGAUCAAAUGGUGGAAAACUUGAUAGCAACAAGUGCUUGGUGUUAUUGAUAGCGUAAUAGCCGGACUGAGAUAAAGUGAUUGAUAAAUGAAUAGUACGGCACAUAAUAGCUAAUGUCA